CUCCUGAUGAGCGGUGGUCCUCGCGCGGCUCUUCCUAUCCUACUGCCAACUCCCGCGAUGACCGCGCGCUGACCACGCCUCGCUCUCUCGCGCCGCUCCUCCUCGCUGAUUCCAACAGCGACGGCGAUUCCACUGAUUCCACCAAUUCUGCCGCUGUUGGAUCUCCACUGAUUCCAUCGAUUCCACCAAUUUCGCCCCGAAGCGGUGACUCCGCCGUGCGCAUCCUCUCUCGCUCGCUCCUCACUCGACCAGUGCCGACCCACUGGUGCACCGCCACAACGCCGGAUCAGCGCCGAGCCACCACCGCACAACUGCAUCCCCUUCCGCCGGUGCCACGCCCGGGACUGCCCCCGACGACGACGGACGCACGCUCCCAUUGCUCCUCCGCAAAUAGCUCCUGAGCUUCACGCGAAGCCCGUGCUGGCCCGGCCCCACGAAAGCCUCUCCUCCGCGAAUCCCUCCCCAUGGAAGCCCUAAGCUCCUCUCUCUUCCUCAGGGAGCGUCGCCGAUCCGUGGGUCGCUGCUCACCCUCCCGUCAUCGGCUGCCACCCGGCGUCUAUCGCCGUCGCUGUUGGAUGCAGGUCGUUGUCCGGCGUUGACUGCUCUCGCUAUUGGAUCAAGGUUGUCGCCCAUCGUCAGGCAUCAUCCACUGCCACCGCCGCUCGCCGGCUCGCCGCCCGAUCGAGCAGGCCAGCACCCAUCUCCAGUGCCCACCAGGUGAACCAGGUAUAGAGGAUGUGGUGGAGGCGUGGGGGCUAAUCACUAUCAGUCAGAUUUUCGUGGAUCGAGCUUAUUACCUGAGUUUUCUCCUCUUCGCUGAUGGAGCCGGUUCAGAUGAAUGUGCUCUUAUCCUGAUACGGCAUAUAGUGAAUCAUUGUGGAAUGACUGAAAUCUGUUUUACUGUGGAAUGAGCAAAAAAUGUUUACUUGCGUUGAUGUCGAGAAGGUUAUAUAAGUCGGGAGCUGUUUGGAAAGGGUUUUAUCGGAGCAACAUUAUUGGGAAAGUAUUUUGCGGAGCAGUUUGGAAAGGGUUUUAUCAGAGCAAUUCUGGAAAUUGUACUUUUAUUGGAUCAAUAAUGAUUGGAAAGGAUUUUAUCGGAGAAAUCUUGAUUAGGAAGGCAUUCCCAUGAGUUGCAAAUCCAAGGAAGUUAAUAACACGACCUGUCUACAGUAUUACAAGCUAAUCGAUUUAUCCCAUUACAAGCUAAAGCCCACUGGUAUGUUUUUGUUUCUCUGCCAUUCACCAUUGAAAUAUGGAAUGCCAUAUUCUUUUUUCCUUCGAUGCACUCUUAAUUGUCUGUUCCAAUUUCUUCGACCACUUAUAAUUUGCAGUUUGAUAUUGCUUUAUCCCGCUGCUUUGCCAUUAGAACCAACAAAAGGAGAAAUGCCUUUAGCUGAAGUCCUCAGAUUCAAUACCAAAGUUGAUUGUUUGAUUCUAAACAUAAUUAUCAUGGUUUCUUGUGGUCCUUUAAUGGUGAUAUUAAGAUUUGGGCAAAAUUGGUACAAAAGCAACAUGUCUAAAAUACCUUGGUAGCUUCCCCAUUUCUAUUAUCUCUCCAAUUUACUCUUAAAUUGUAUGAUACAACAUUAUCAAAUUUCAUAGUAGUUAUUUUGGACUCACCUCUUCAAAGUACCUGUCAUCUGGGUUGGGAGGUAAUUUCUAAAUCUCAGCUCUACUAUGUGAUGAUCUGACAUUCAUAUUUUACUAUAUACUUCUUGUGACUAGAAUUCCUGCUGCAUAUUACGUACUAGCUAGGUAUUUCCUCUUACAAUAAUGGUUGUCAGAAUUAGCAGCAUGAAACUGAUCAGCUCAACUCCAUGCUUGAACAAUUUGUGAGUUUUUCUUUACUCCAGAACACCUGAUCAGUUGACAUCUAUGAUAUAUUUAACAGAUUAUGUUGAUUGCGCAUAAAGAAGUAGCCCAACAUAUUUCUGCUAUGCACAUGAACAUAUUGGUACAUAUUUACAAUUCUUUAUUUUUACGAGGCACUAUGCUACUGAUAGUCUAUUGAUGGGCUAUAGCUGAAUUUAGUUUAAAAACAACUACUGGUUUUUUUUUCACCUACGUUGCCAUUCCUCCGUUCCUGCAUGUCCACUUUGUUGCAAAUCUAGAAUUGUGGAGAAACUCUUGAUGUUCAUCAUAUGCCAGUUCAUACUUUUCUAAAUUGCCAAAUUGAAAAGAGGGUUACAUAUUUAUUCAGUCCUAUCUGCAGGUUGGAAAUUGUAUGCAGCUAGCUAGAUCACUUUCUUAUCACAACUCACAAGAUUGCCACUUUAUUAGCUAUAGUUUGAAUCUAGGAUGGUCUGCCAUAAGGAGCUUUAAUUACUUCUAUGAAUUUUGUUAAAUCAAAAUUGAUCCAUUUGUGGCUUUUAUUGUUUGAGAUUGAAAAAAAAAUCAGGUUGCUGCUCAAGAGCAAAAGGCAAUAACAUGGGGCAGUGAUAAAACUAUUUUUGGGCACAGUUAGUCUGUGACUAUGUCUUCAUGGGCAUAAAUGAAAGAGAAACUCAUUGUUAAAAAACUGAAAUGGAAACAACUUUUCCAUGGUGAUCCGAUUGACCAUCGCUCGGAUCUUGGAUAUCAAUACUGUAAUUCAUAAAGUACAGAAUACAUGAUUCAGAUGGAGAAAGGCAAUACAUGAGGAAGAUGUUUUGAACAAUAUAUUAUCUUAGGUUAAACUAAUGUUUUUUUUCACAUCUGGUGUUUUGUACCCUUACUAAUAAUAAAUUUGAUACUAUAAAUUCUAUCUCAUUA